rnacentral:rRNA from 1 species
GAUGAACGCUGGCGGCGUGCUUAACUCAUGCAAGUCGAACGAUGAAGCCCAGCUUGCUGGGUGGAUUAGUGGCGAACGGGUGAGUAACACGUGAGUAACCUGCCCUUAACUCUGGGAUAAGCCUGGGAAACUGGGUCUAAUACCGGAUAGGAGCGUCCACCGCAUGGUGGGUGUUGGAAAGAUUUAUCGGUUUUGGAUGGACUCGCGGCCUAUCAGCUUGUUGGUGAGGUAAUGGCUCACCAAGGCGACGACGGGUAGCCGGCCUGAGAGGGUGACCGGCCACACUGGGACUGAGACACGGCCCAGACUGCUACGGGAGGCAGCAGUGGGGAAUAUUGCACAAUGGGCGCAAGCCUGAUGCAGCGACGCCGCGUGAGGGAUGACGGCCUUCGGGUUGUAAACCUCUUUCAGUAGGGAAGAAGCGAAAGUGACGGUACCUGCAGAAGAAGCACCGGCUAACUACGUG